UACGAAGGGGGCUAGCGUUGUUCGGAAUUACUGGGCGUAAAGCGCGCGCAGGCGGUCUUCCAAGUCAGUGGUGAAAGCCCGGAGCUCAACUCCGGAACUGCCAUUGAAACUGUGAGACUUGAGUACGAGAGAGGUGAGUGGAAUUCCCAGUGUAGAGGUGAAAUUCGUAGAUAUCAGGAGGAACACCGGUGGCGAAGGCGGCGACCUGGUCCAAUAUUGACACUCAUACACGAAAGCGUGGGGAUCAAACAGG
rnacentral:rRNA from 1 species